rnacentral:rRNA from 1 species
GACGUAGGGCGCGAGCGUUGUCCGGAUUUAUUGGGCGUAAAGAGCUCGUAGGCGGCUUGUCGCGUCGACUGUGAAAUCCUGCGGCUCAACUGCGGGUCUGCAGUCGAUACGGGCAGGCUAGAGUUCGGUAGGGGAGACUGGAAUUCCUGGUGUAGCGGUGAAAUGCGUAGAUAUCUGGAGGAACACCGGUGGCGAAGGCGGCAUCCUGGACCGGUAGUUGACGCUGAGGCGCGAAAGCCAGGGGAGCAAAGCGGG